ACACAGAACAUACGAACCUAAAGAUCCUCCACAGUAACUCGCAACAUUCUCUUUGUCUGGUGCUGGUGAAAUGAUUGGUGAAACAAAACUUUUUAUAAUGUUAAUGGUAUUUCUAUGAGACAUAAAAUUUCAUUAUGUGCAGCUGUUCUUAGAGUUGGCCAUUGAAAUUACUCUGAAUUUGGAUUUUAUUCACAUUUAUUUUCCAAUUUUAAUAUAUGUUUAAAAUUUAAACAAUUGUGAGGAUGAUGAAAGGUUUGUCUUUGAAUAGAACAUUUUUUUGUAAGAAUUGAUAUUUCCAUUGUCUCUUUUGUACAAAUGUUGUUAAGAAAAUUAUUUCUAUAAUGUAAUGAAUUGGUCCAUUUAAUAAUUUGUUAUUAUGAAAAUUAAGUGACAAUGACAGGUUGUUCAUUUUUAGAUGUUUACUUGUGUCUCAGGCUCUUUAAGUAAAUAAUUUUUUCAAAAUAUGUACAUACAUUGUCAAUUUUUAAAAAUAAAUAUUUUUUUGGUGCAAUUUAGAGAUUCUUAUGUGUUCACUGGAAACUGUUGCCUUGUAAAUGUUUUCCUCUGAGUCAAUCAAUGUAUUAAACCUUGGCAUUUUUUUUUAAAUAAAGAGAC
rnacentral:misc_RNA from 1 species